CAAGGGUAUAAUAUUUGAGACCACAAAUGAUUCUAGAUUUACAAUGAUAUGGAUCAUCUUUUUCCAAUAAAAAAAGAAAAGAUAGCAAUCCACAUGGAAACAAUCUUUUGAUUGUAAUGGAAAAAUCCAAGUAUCUUAAUUAUAUGACAUUCCAGACUGAUUGGUUAUUUUUUGUUGGGAGGUUGUCUUGGUCCUCAAUAAAACCUUUUUUUUUACCAC
rnacentral:lncRNA from 1 species